rfam:Asian citrus Psyllid, Diaphorina citri - Florida Strain, whole genome shotgun sequence.
UCCUAGUUAGCUUAGUUGGUAGUGCGUCUGCCUUGUAAGCGCUAGGCCGCGGGUUCGAUUCCCGCCCGGGGCG